AGAAAAUUCACCUAAUUAUCUAAUUCUAUCAACAAUGAAUUAUAUGUACUAUUACUCCACUACCUUGAAACCUCUCGUAGAUCAUAAUAUUAUAAUUUAACACUGUAUAAUUUUACUUUUAGAAUCUUUCAAACCCACCUAGUUAAAGUUGUGCAUGGGAGACACACUGAGCACCCUAUAUUCAAUUUGUGCCAGACGUUAGGACACUAAUAUAAAGAUGUGGAACUGCACUCAUUCGAAAGUAGUAUGUAUCCUGGUGCAAUCAGGCCAGUCCCAGUACCAGGAACCAAACAUAGGA